rnacentral:tRNA from 1 species
GUUGUUAUAGUUUAAAAAAAACACUAGACUGUGAUUCUAAAAAUAAAAGUUAAAAUCUUUUUAAUAAC